UUGUGUCACAGCAAGAUGUUCUGGAUACAUCUUGUACUUCCCUUGCCCCAGUUCUGGUAUGGGCCAUUUCUCCAAACACCAUGUUAAUCAAGUGGUCAAAGUAAACACGAUCAGUAAUGGGACAAAUUGAAAUUGUGUGCCGUCUGAUACGAUGCGAUGAUUAGAAAAUUGCAUCACUUCCUGGAUAUUCUUGCCAAAGAUACAUAAACUGAACUGAAUCAUGAGGAGACAUCAGACAGAUUUAAACUGAACGAAGCUCUACAAAAUAGCAGCUUGUACUCUUCAGAAGUGUCAAGGUCAUGAAAGUCUAAGACUGAGGAACUAUACCUGAAUAAGAAGACCAAAGAGAUAUGCUAACUAAAUGCAACAAUGAUGUUUUUUGCUAUAAAAAUGAUCCUUUUGAUUUCCGCACCUUCUGUGUGGCUCUCCGGCGGAGCCGAGCGCACUCUCCCUGACCUCGGCUGCGCUCCUUGAGGAGUGGUGAGUCUGCGGAACCGCAGCCAUGACUGAGGCUGAUGUAAAUCCGAAGGCCUAUCCCCUUGCUGAUGCCCAUCUCACCAAGAAACUAUUGGACCUCAUUCAACAGUCAUGUAACUACAAGCAGCUUCGGAAAGGGGCCAAUGAGGCCACCAAAACCCUCAACAGGGGCAUCUCUGAGUUCAUUGUGAUGGCUGCAGAUGCUGAGCCGCUGGAGAUCAUUUUGCACCUCCCACUGCUGUGUGAAGACAAGAAUGUGCCCUACGUGUUUGUGCACUCCAAGCAGGCCCUGGGGCGGGCCUGUGGGGUCUCCAGGCCUGUCAUUGCCUGUUCUGUCACUAUCAAAGAAGGCUCACAGCUGAAGCAGCAGAUCCCGUCCAUUCAGCAGUCCAUCGAAAGGCUCUUAGUCUAAACCUGUGGCCUCUGCCACAUUUUCCCUGUUGACUCCUCCCCCUGAGGUUGUGUAUCAUACUGUCUGUGUUAGCAUGUAGUAUUUUCAGCUACUUUCUAUUGUUAUAAAAUACUGUAGUACU